GAUGAACGCUGGCGGCGUGCCUAAUACAUGCAAGUCGAGCGAACGGACGAGAAGCUUGCUUCUCUGAUGUUAGCGGCGGACGGGUGAGUAACACGUGGAUAACCUACCUAUAAGACUGGGAUAACUUCGGGAAACCGGAGCUAAUACCGGAUAAUAUUUUGAACCGCAUGGUUCAAGAGUGAAAGACGGUCUUGCCGUCACUUAUAGAUGGAUCCGCGCUGCAUUAGCUAGUUGGUAAGGUAACGGCUUACCAAGGCAACGAUGCAUAGCCGACCUGAGAGGGUGAUCGGCCACACUGGAACUGAGACACGGUCCAGACUCCUACGGGAGGCAGCAGUAGGGAAUCUUCCGCAAUGGGCGAAAGCCUGACGGAGCAACGCCGCGUGAGUGAUGAAGGUCUUCGGAUCGUAAAACUCUGUUAUUAGGGAAGAACAUAUGUGUAAGUAACUGUGCACAUCUUGACGGUACCUAAUCAGAAAGCCACGGCUAACUACGUG
rnacentral:rRNA from 1 species